AGCGAACGCUGGCGGCAGGCCUAACACAUGCAAGUCGAACGAAGUCUUCGGACUUAGUGGCGGACGGGUGAGUAACACGUGGGAACGUGCCUUUAGGUUCGGAAUAACUCAGGGAAACUUGUGCUAAUACCGAAUGUGCCCUUCGGGGGAAAGAUUUAUCGCCUUUAGAGCGGCCCGCGUCUGAUUAGCUAGUUGGUGAGGUAAAGGCUCACCAAGGCUACGAUCAGUAGCUGGUCUGAGAGGAUGACCAGCCACAUUGGGACUGAGACACGGCCCAAACUCCUACGGGAGGCAGCAGUGGGGAAUCUUGCGCAAUGGGCGAAAGCCUGACGCAGCCAUGCCGCGUGGAUGAUGAAGGUCUUAGGAUUGUAAAAUCCUUUCACCGGUGAAGAUAAUGACUGUAGCCGGAGAAGAAGCCCCGGCUAACUUCGUGCCAGCCGCCGCCGUAACAC
rnacentral:rRNA from 1 species